GAGACAGCAGCAGCCACGGUAAUACGAAGGGUGCAAGCGUUAAUCGGAAUUACUGGGCGUAAAGCGUGCGUAGGCGGUGAGUUAAGUCUGCUGUGAAAUCCCCGGGCUCAACCUGGGAAUGGCAGUGGAUACUGGCUCGCUAGAGUGUGUCAGAGGAUGGUGGAAUUCCCGGUGUAGCGGUGAAAUGCGUAGAGAUCGGGAGGAACAUCAGUGGCGAAGGCGGCCAUCUGGGACAACACUGACGCUGAGGCUCGAAAGCGUGGGGAGCAAACAGGAUUAGAUACCCCAGUAGUCCCUGUCUCUUAUAC
rnacentral:rRNA from 1 species